GGUUUUAUGAUUUAUGAUUUAAAACCGAAAAAUAAGAAAAAGCUGAAACUGGACAACGCACUGUCGGGUUGGAAAGAAUGGUUUGGCUUGGGAGCUGCAGGGUUGGGAGGCCCGGACAGACGGGUUCUGGAAAGUGAGCAGCGUAUCAUCCUUUCAUAGACGAUAGACUCUUUGCGCACAAAGUGCACCGCGGGGUACUACUCCCACCACCUGCUUCGUUUUAGUAUUAGUUUAGGGC
rnacentral:lncRNA from 1 species